rnacentral:rRNA from 1 species
GCGACCCCAGUUAGGCGG